rnacentral:lncRNA from 1 species
UUAAAUAUGUACUCCCUUAAGGAAUGAACAUAUUAUGGUGAAAUAUUGCUCCCCCGCGUCCCCUACAAAUCUGCCUAGAGAUGUGGAUACCUACAUUUGCUUAAGCAUCAGACCAGUGUUUGUAUAUACCCGGGCCAUACACACUCAUCUCGACGUCUCUCUGCGGAUGUAUUUCCCCUUCACUGGUGACCUGGUAUUUAGAACUCCGUCUUUUCAGUUGGUUUAUUUCCCUUUAAUGUGAUGUCUCUGUGCCGAUUAUUACCGGUUCUUACUUGUUUUUGCAAUCCGUUUUGAGGUCCAGUGUUUUACUGAGACUCAUUGCAUCUUGGCUGAUUUCAAAGUGACACCCGAAUACAGUGUUUAAAAAAAAAGUUUGUUUGUAAAUCAUGUGACCAGCUUCUCUCACCCUGACAUGGAAUGUCUCUUGUACUACAGUGUAUUUAAUAAUAAAAGAAAAAAAUGAUGUCUUACAAUAAAUAACAUCUUCC